CCGCUGUGUGGUUACAAGUGUCACACGGUACUGCCGGUCUUAAGCCGGAGGAAGGUGGGGAGUGACGUCAAGUCAGCAUGGCCUUUAUGUCCUGGGCUACACACACGCUACAAUGGCCAACACAAUAGGUUGCUAAGCCGCGAGGUGGAGCCAAUCCUCAAAGUUGGUCUCAGUUCAGAUUGCAGGCUGCAACCCGCCUGCAUGAAGAUGGAGUUGCUAGUAACCGCAGGUCAGCUAUACUGCGGUGAAUACGUUCCCGGGGCUU
rnacentral:rRNA from 1 species